UGGGGUGACUGCGUACCUUUUGUAUAAUGGGUCAGCGACUUAUAUUCUGUAGCAAGGUUAACCGAAUAGGGGAGCCGAAGGGAAACCGAGUCUUAACUGGGCGUUAAGUUGCAGGGUAUAGACCCGAAACCCGGUGAUCUAGCCAUGGGCAGGUUGAAGGUUGGGUAACACUAACUGGAGGACCGAACCGACUAAUGUUGAAAAAUUAGCGGAUGACUUGUGGCUGGGGGUGAAAGGCCAAUCAAACCGGGAGAUAGCUGGUUCUCCCCGAAAGCUAUUUAGGUAGCGCCUCGUGAAUUCAUCUCCGGGGGUAGAGCACUGUUUCGGCAAGGGGGUCAUCCCGACUUACCAACCCGAUGCAAACUGCGAAUACCGGAGAAUGUUAUCACGGGAGACACACGGCGGGUGCUAACGUCCGUCGUGAAGAGGGAAACAACCCAGACCGCCAGCUAAGGUCCCAAAGUCAUGGUUAAGUGGGAAACGAUGUGGGAAGGCCCAGACAGCCAGGAUGUUGGCUUAGAAGCAGCCAUCAUUUAAAGAAAGCGUAAUAGCUCACUGGUCGAGUCGGCCUGCGCGGAAGAUGUAACGGGGCUAAACCAUGCACCGAAGCUGCGGCAGCGACACUAUGUGUUGUUGGGUAGGGGAGCG
rnacentral:rRNA from 1 species